rnacentral:rRNA from 1 species
CAGCCGCCGCGGUAAUACAGAGGGUGCGAGCGUUAAUCGGAUUUACUGGGCGUAAAGCGUGCGUAGGCGGCUUCUUAAGUCGGAUGUGAAAUCCCUGAGCUUAACUUAGGAAUUGCAUUCGAUACUAAGAAGCUAGAGUAUGGGAGAGGAUGGUAGAAUUCCAGGUGUAGCGGUGAAAUGCGUAGAGAUCUGGAGGAAUACCGAUGGCGAAGGCAGCCAUCUGGCCUAAUACUGACGCUGAGGUACGAAAGCAUGGGGAGCAAACAGGAUUAGAUACCCCAGUAGUCCCUGUCUCUUAUAC